UUCUGUCUCCCAUUUCAGUGUCCAAGGUUCCUGACCCAGAAUUUGCCUAUUCUCAGAUGACUUGAUUGGAUGUUUUCUGCCAUGUGAUAUGGAAACUGAGGCACACAGAGGUUGGAUUUGAACUCAGAUCUCCCUGAAUCCAUAUCUAGUGGUGUUUUUCUAUUGUGCCAUCUCCUAUGGUUAGCUGGGGCUCUCAAGUCCAACCUGCAUGCAGAGAGCUAUGAAGACCACCAGAUGGCAGAGGUGAUAUGUGUAGGAACUUGUAAUAUGUGGAGCAGAGACCUUAGAGUUGCCAUCUUUUAGGGAAAAUGACACAUAUUUACUUGCUGAAGAAGAAAAUUAAAGCCAGCGGGAAAAUGUAAAGAUUUGUUUUCUUAACAUUCAAGCAAAUAUUCAAAGUAAAAUUUUUUUUAUCUCUCUGAAAAUGAAUGUAGAUUUGUUCCUCUUCCCCCCCCCAAUUAUUUUUCUUUGCUGUCUUUCAAAGCUUCUGACAUGAGGAAACUUUACAUUUCUCUAAAGAAAAGAG